UUUGGGAGAAGACAUUGGCAUGUGGAUGCCCAAAUAGCCCUUUCAGUCACCUAAGUCUUGAUUUGGACCUUCAAAUGCUGAAUUGGGGCCCCAUAACUUAUGCAUUUGAAAACUGGGCUCUACAAGGAAUAAUUUUAAGAUGAUUAGUGCUUGUAGCCAAUAAGGAGGUGUCUGUUUACAGCAUGAGGUCUUAGAAUUAAAAUAUAGCACUCUUUGCAAGAUAAUAGAAGAGAAUGGCUGGAGCUGAUCCCAAAUGUGAGAGAGCAGGAUUACACUACAGUACCAGUCUAUGGAAGAAAUUCAUAUUUACAAAUACAUCCACAGAAGGAGAUUGAAAAAAAUUCAAAGGACUGCAUCUGCUAGACAUUAAGCUUUGUUACAGGGUGCAUAGAGACAUCAAAAUUUGCACCUCUGCAGUGACACCUGCUCAGUGAUGUACCAUGACUGAACACUUUCUAUUAAACACUUGAAGAGCUUUUAAUUCCUCAAAAGUCCUGUGUGAUAGACAUAAGCAAAGCCUAAAUUCACUUAUAUAAACAAACCACAGGGAACAGUUCCUUUAUGGGAUGAUGCGAAAGCAGUCCUAAUUAAGAGACCAGGAAGAAUGGAGGAAAUCCAUUUUAAGGAAGAACUUGAAGAAACAGAAUAUUUUGAUAGACAAGAAACUGGAAGCUAUUCCAUGCAUGGCAGACAAUAUGAAAGAAGGAAUAAAGCCAGGCCUGGGAAAUUGAGAUGGAGAGAAGUAAGGAUGGAAAAUUGGGAAUGGAAAAGGGAGAUUGAAAGGAAAUGAGGGCAUGCCAGGAGAAGAGCUAUGCCUGACAAGAAGCUAAUGAAGACAUUCAACGAAGCUGAUGUUGUAGCUGGAGUGAAGAGGAAGAAGGUCAAAUUACAAUAAUCGAGACAGGACUAUAAAUAAAAGCUGCACCUGUUUAUACUGCACAGCACCACCUCACAGUGUCCAGCGAUUCACUAGCUCUCCCCAUCUGGAACAGAAUACAAUACACCAGCGGACAGUAUAUCUAUUCCUCUUUAACAAAUAAUUGCUUGAAUAGAUGUUAUAAAAA